UACGGAGGGGGCUAGCGUUGUUCGGAAUUACUGGGCGUAAAGCGCGCGUAGGCGGACCUGCAAGUCGGGGGUGAAAGCCCGAGGCUCAACCUCGGAACUGCCUUCGAUACUGCGGGUCUCGAGUCCGGGAGAGGUGAGUGGAAUUCCUAGUGUAGAGGUGAAAUUCGUAGAUAAUUCGGAAGAACACCAGUGGCGAAGGCGGCUGACUGGACAUGUAUUGACGCUGAGGUGCGAAAGCGUGGGGAGCAACAGGG
rnacentral:rRNA from 1 species